GAUGAACGCUGGCGGCGUGCCUAAUACAUGCAAGUCGAGCGAACAGACGAGGAGCUUGCUCCUCUGACGUUAGCGGCGGACGGGUGAGUAACACGUGGAUAACCUACCUAUAAGACUGGGAUAACUUCGGGAAACCGGAGCUAAUACCGGAUAAUAUAUUGAACCGCAUGGUUCAAUAGUGAAAGACGGUUUUGCUGUCACUUAUAGAUGGAUCCGCGCCGCAUUAGCUAGUUGGUAAGGUAACGGCUUACCAAGGCAACGAUGCGUAGCCGACCUGAGAGGGUGAACGGCCACACUGGAACUGAGACACGGUCCAGACUCCUACGGGAGGCAGCAGUAGGGAAUCUUCCGCAAUGGGCGAAAGCCUGACGGAGCAAAGCCGCGUGAGUGAUGAAGGUCUUCGGAUCGUAAAACUCUGUUAGUAGGGAAGAACAAAUGUGUAAGUAACUAUGCACGUCUUGACGGUACCUAAUCAGAAAGCCACGGCUAACUACGUG
rnacentral:rRNA from 1 species